AUUAUCCUUAUCAGAAGGACAAACAAAGAAUUCCAACAUAUACAAGACACACAACUGUACAGCAUCCAAAUCAUUUGUCCAGGAUUUGGAUGUCAAUACAUUUCUCAAAAGCGGUUUCUCUACCCGAGAUUUGUUAGGGAAGUAUUUAGUCAUUAAAUAGCUAACAUAACUAGAAUUGUAACCAUGGUCCGAUAAACUAUCAACACAGUUAAACCCAGUUAU
rnacentral:lncRNA from 1 species